ACGUGAAUUCGAGUACGAGAUUGUGAAAAAAAAAACUAAAAAAGGACUAUUAAUAUAUAUAAAAAAAUUUAUGAAUACCAAAGACAAAACCUAGUGGCCCAUGGAUACAUUUCUACCUUUGAAUUUGACCCAGAACUCAUGGGUAGUUUUAGAUUAUUUCCUUUCCUUUUUGCAGUCACAGCCCUUCCGCUUAAUUCAAACAUUUUCUCUUCUUUAUUCCAAAACCCACCUCGUCCUUGUAAUGUUUUGCCGAUUGCCGCCGCCACCCUGAUAUCCAUCAUUAUUCACUCGAUAAUUGAUGGAGGCUAUGAUAAAGAAAUAUCAGCAGAAAUUCAAGAAAGCAAAAGAUGAAAUGAGUAAAUGGGACGACCUUCAAUCUCGCUUAAUUUCCCACUUUCGAAAUGCUUCUUCCAUUAUUUCCAGAUUACAGAUUAUUCAAAACUCUAAAAACUAUGCCAGUUUAAAUUGUGUUGGAGGAAUGGAAGCUGCAGUGAUGCAAAAGCAGAUGGAUUCUUUGCAAACCAUUUUACUUUCCAUGAAAAAUACAAUGGAGGACUUUCGCGGUGUUGUUCUUUCCCUUGAGAAGCUUCAACAUGAUGGUAAACAGCUAGCAAAAGGUAGCUCCAAUCAGAUGAACAAGAAACAACUGCAACAUAGAAUUGGCGUAAAACCGACUCUUACAAAUUGCAUAGAUGGGCUUGUACUUCUCCAUGAAAUCUAUCACGACGAGUACCUUCUUAAAUCAUCAUUGGUUUCUGCACUUUCAGCUCUUACCUUGAAACCCAACCCUGUAAGGUGCAAGGGCACCAUGCCAAAGCAUUUGGGUGACAAGGUGGGUAUGGUGAAGUAAUUCCCACUGUGUUGCACCCCUCAUCAAUGAUUGGACACCCUUAAUGAGUCCAAUAGAAUAUGGUGCUCGCAAAACGUGAUUGUUCUUUAGAUUGAAGAAUUCUGGUGAUCUGGGUGCCCUCCACCAACUUUUGGUUGAUCAACCCAAUAUAUUAAACGAGGAAGUACAAUACAUAUUUGACAUCGUAUUUGCGGAAGAGAUAUGUUGAUUUUAUGCUUGUCUGUUAUAGAGGUAGUAGUGUACUUGUACCUUGCUACUGAAUUUUUUUAAUCUUGAAGCUGUGAACAUCACAAUAUUCGAUUCUUUGUCAUAUAAAGCAUGGUAAUUGGAAGCUUUCCUUCGAUAAAGAGUUAAUUGUGACCAUCAUUGUUUGAUCAUUGAUCAUCGUGUCUAGUUAUUUGGAAAGUAUUUAAUGCAUAAGUUGGAAAAAUAUCUUCACAUUUGAUUGUAUGUAAUUUGCAAAAAUAGUAACUCUUGCAAAAGAAUUGCUUCUAAGGUUUACUGUUUUCUCA